GAUGAACGCUGGCGGCGUGCUUAACACAUGCAAGUCGAACGAACCUUCGGGUUAGCGGCGGACGGGUGAGUAACGCGUGAGAAUCUGCCCUCAGGAGGGGGAUAACGGUUGGAAACGACCGCUAAUACCCCAUAUGCCGAUAGGUGAAAUGAAUUUCGCCUGAGGAUGAGCUCGCGUCUGAUUAGCUUGUUGGUGAGGUAAUGGCUCACCAAGGCUUCGAUCAGUAGCUGGUCUGAGAGGAUGAUCAGCCACACUGGGACUGAGACACGGCCCAGACUCCUACGGGAGGCAGCAGUGGGGAAUUUUCCGCAAUGGGCGAAAGCCUGACGGAGCAACGCCGCGUGAGGGACGAAGGCCUCUGGGCUGUAAACCUCUUUUCUCAAGGAAGAAGAUAUGACGGUACUUGAGGAAUAAGCCACGGCUAAUUCCGUGCCAGCAGCCGCGGUAAUACGGGAGUGGCAAGCGUUAUCCGGAAUUAUUGGGCGUAAAGCGUCCGCAGGCGGCCUUUCAAGUCUGCUGUUAAAGCGUGGAGCUUAACUCCAUUAUGGCAGUGGAAACUGAUCGGCUUGAGUAUGGUAGGGGCAGAGGGAAUUCCCGGUGUAGCGGUGAAAUGCAUAGAUAUCGGGAAGAACACCAGUGGCGAAGGCGCUCUGCUGGGCCAUUACUGACGCUCAUGGACGAAAGCCAGGGGAGCGAAAGGGAUUAGAUACCCCUGUAGUCCUGGCCGUAAACGAUGAACACUAGGUGUCGGGGGAAUCGACCCCUUCGGUGUCGUAGCUAACGCGUUAAGUGUUCCGCCUGGGGAGUACGCACGCAAGUGUGAAACUCAAAGGAAUUGACGGGGGCCCGCACAAGCGGUGGAGUAUGUGGUUUAAUUCGAUGCAACGCGAAGAACCUUACCAGGGUUUGACAUCCCGAGAACCUCUUAGAAAUUUGAGGGUGCCUUCGGGAAUUCAGUGACAGGUGGUGCAUGGCUGUCGUCAGCUCGUGUCGUGAGAUGUUGGGUUAAGUCCCGCAACGAGCGCAACCCACGUUUUUAGUUGCCAGCAUUUAGUUGGGCACUCUAGAAAGACCGCCGGUGAUAAACCGGAGGAAGGUGUGGAUGACGUCAAGUCAUCAUGCCCCUUACACCCUGGGCUACACACGUACUACAAUGCUACGGACAAAGGGCAGCAAACUCGCGAGAGCUAGCAAAUCCCAUAAACCGUGGCUCAGUUCAGAUCGUAGGCUGCAACUCGCCUACGUGUAGUAGGAAUCGCUAGUAAUCGCAGGUCAGCAUACUGCGGUGAAUACGUUCCCGGGCCUUGUACACACC
rnacentral:rRNA from 1 species